UGCGGCGUCGUCCAACGGCAGGACAGCGGGCCUUGAACCCGUGGAUGAAGGUUCGAGUCCUUCCGCCGCAGCCA
rnacentral:tRNA from 1 species